AAGACUUUAAGUUAUUUAAACUUGUAGCCUUCAAAGUUACCAAAAGAAGUAAAACUCUUCUAAGUCUUA
rnacentral:tRNA from 1 species